rnacentral:misc_RNA from 1 species
GAUGAAGAACGCAGCGAAAUGCGAUAAGUAGUGUGAAUUGCAGAAUUCAGUGAAUCAUCGAAUCUUUGAACGCACAUUGCGCCCCUUGGUAUUCCAUGGGGUAUGCCUGUUCGAGCGUCAUUUGUACCUUCAAGCUCUGCUUGGUGUUGGGUGUUUGUCUCGCCUCUGCGUGUAGACUCGCCUCAAAACAAUUGGCAGCCGGCGUAUUGAUUUCGGAGCGCAGUACAUCUCGCGCUUUGCACUCAUAACGACGACGUCCAAAAGUACAUUUUUACACUCUUGACCUUGGAUCAGGUAGGGAUACCCGCUGAACUUAAGCAUAUCAAUAAGCGGAGGA